GGCUUUUUGAUAAUAAUUUAAGGUCUGGCCUGCCCAAUGAUUUAAAUAUUAAAUGGCCGCGAUAUCUUGAUCGUGCAAAGGUAGCAUAAUCACUAGUUUUUUAAUUGAAAGCUUGUAUGAAAGGUUUGAUGAAAAAAUAACUGUCUCUAUUAAAAUUUUUUAGAAAUUUAUUUUUAAGUUAAAAAGCUUAAAUAUAUAUUAAAGACGAGAAGACCCUAUAGAGUUUUAUAUUUUUAUAAGAUUUAUAUAUUUUAGGAUUAUUUUAAAAGUUUUGUAGAAUUAUUUGGUUGGGGUGAUUUAAAAAUUAAUUUAACUUUUUACUUAAUAUUACAUUGAUUUAUGGGUUUAUGAUCUUUAUUAAAGAUUAAUAGAUAAAAUUACCUUAGGGAUAACAGCGUAAUUUUUUUUAGAGUUCUUAUCGAAAAAAAAGAUUGCGACCUCGAUGUUGGAUUAAAAUAAAUUAUUGGUGUAGAGGCUAAUAAAUUAGGUCUGUUCGACCUUUAGAAUUUUACAUGAUCUGAGUUUAAACCGGUGUAA
rnacentral:rRNA from 1 species